AACGAACGCUGGCGGCAUGCCUAACACAUGCAAGUCGAACGCGUGUAGCAAUACACGAGUGGCGGACGGGUGAGUAACGCGUGGGAACCUGCCCAGUGGUAGGGAAUAACUGCGGGAAACUGCAGCUAAUACCCUAUACGCCCUUUGGGGAAAGAUUCAUCGCCAUUGGAGGGGCCCGCGUCGGAUUAGCUAGUUGGCGGGGUAACGGCCCACCAAGGCAACGAUCCGUAGCUGGUCUGAGAGGACGACCAGCCACACUGGCACUGCGACACGGGCCAGACUCCUACGGGAGGCAGCAGUAAGGAAUAUUGCGCAAUGGGCGAAAGCCUGACGCAGCGACGCCGCGUGGGGGAUGAAGGUCUUCGGAUUGUAAACCCCUUUCGGGAGGGAAGAUGGAAUGGGGGUAACCCAUUCGGACGGUACCUCCAGAAGCAGCCACGGCUAACUUCGUGCCAGCCGCCGCA
rnacentral:rRNA from 1 species